GUGCCAGCAGCCGCGGUAAGACGAACCGUGCGAACGUUGUUCGGAUUCACUGGGCUUAAAGGGCGCGUAGGCGGGCGUCAGGGUCCGGGGUGAAAGCCCCCAGCUUAACUGGGGAAUGGCCUCGGAAACCGGACGCCUCGAGGGAGGUAGGGGCAGGUGGAACUUCCGGUGGAGCGGUGAAAUGCGUAGAUAUCGGAAGGAACGCCGGUGGCGAAAGCGACCUGCUGGACCUCUUCUGACGCUGAGGCGCGAAAGCUAGGGGAGCAAACGGGAUUAGAUACCCCAGUAGUCC
rnacentral:rRNA from 1 species